rnacentral:rRNA from 1 species
AUACGUAGGGGGCGAGCGUUGUCCGGAAUGAUUGGGCGUAAAGGGCGCGUAGGCGGCCCGGUAAGUCUGGAGUGAAAGUCCUGUUUUUAAGAUGGGAAUUGCUUUGGAUACUGUCGGGCUUGAGUGCAGGAGAGGUAAGUGGAAUUCCCAGUGUAGCGGUGCAAUGCGUAGAGAUUGGGAGGAACACCAGUGGCGAAGGCGACUUACUGGACUGUAACUGACGCUGAGGCGCGAAAGUGUGGGGAGCAAACAGGAUUAGAUACCCUGGUAGUCCACACUGUAAACGAUGAAUGCUAGGUGUAGGGGGUAUCGACCCCUUCUGUGCCGCAGUCAACACAAUAAGCAUUCCGCCUGGGGAGUACGGCCGCAAGGUUGAAACUCAAAUGAAUUGACGGGG